AGGCUCUGGAGGAGAGUUGGUAUGAGGCACAGAAAGUGUGGUUGGUGCAGAAGGACGGGUUCACUCUUGCGACAGUGCUCAAACCAGAUGAGGGGACGGCUGACCUGCCGCCCGGAAGGGUGCGGCUUAGUAUCGAUGCCGACAAGACUGUCACAGAGGUGGAUGAGGAGCAGGUUCACCGAGCCAACCCCUCUGAGCUGGACCAGGCCGAGGACCUGGCUUCUCUGGUCAGUGUUAACGAGUCAAGCGUCCUGAACACGCUUCUACAGCGCUACCAGGCUCAGCUGCCACACACCCGUUCGGGCCCUGAUCUGAUCGCCAUGCA